rnacentral:rRNA from 1 species
GCGAGUGAAGCGGCAAUAGCUCAAAUUUGAAAGCUGGCCUUCUGGUCCGCAUUGUAAUUUGUAGAGGAUGCUUUUAGGCAGCCGCCGGUCUAAGUUCCUUGGAACAGGACGUCAUAGAGGGUGAGAAUCCCGUAUGUGACCGGCUCUGGCACCUUCUGUAAAGCUCCUUCGACGAGUCGAGUUGUUUGGGAAUGCAGCUCUAAAUGGGAGGUAAAUUUCUUCUAAAGCUAAAUACUGGCGAGAGACCGAUAGCGCACAAGUAGAGUGAUCGAAAGAUGAAAAGCACUUUGGAAAGAGAGUUAAAAAGCACGUGAAAUUGUUGAAAGGGAAGCGCUUGCAAUCAGACUUGGCUUCGGUUGUUCAACAGGUCUUCUGACCUGCCUAUUCAAUCGUUGCCAGGCCAGCAUCAGUUUCGGCGGCCGGAUAAAGGCCCUGGGAAUGUGGCUGUUCCUUCGGGGACAGUGUUAUAGCCCAGGGUGUAAUACGGCCAGCUGGGACUGAGGUCCGCGCUUCGGCUAGGAUGCUGGCGUAAUGGUUGUAAGCGGCCCGUCUU